ensembl:snoRNA
GCCAAUGAGCUCUUGUUUAUCAUAGUGCCCCAUGCCAGAGCAAGCUGCGCCCCUGAACCAUUGCCUACCUCUGUGUCCAUAGGCUGCUGGCACUGAAGUGGGUUGCACAGAG